GCCCCAAUAGCCUAAUGGAUAUGGCAUUCGCCUUCUAAGCGAAAGGUCCGGGUUCGAUCCCCGGUUGGGGUA